rnacentral:lncRNA from 1 species
AGAAGCAUCAAGGCCACUAUAAUUGAUUGAGGACCUAACCAAAAAAUUCCGGUCAAUGAAUAUAAAUGGGAGAACACUUGUAUAAACAGCUACAUCGCAGGAUUAUAAGAAUCGUGCUAGCUGUAAAACUAAAACAUCUGACAUAUAAAAUGGACUUCGUGACUUAACAGAUUUAGCAUCGCUAAUAUGUCCAACUGGUUGCCAAUUUUCAAUUAUCACUAGUUAUAAGCAGCAGAAUUCCCUAACUGAUCUACUUGAAUAAAGUUAACGAAAUUGAUUAGCAGAAUUGAAUCCCCCAAGUCACCGUUCCAUUGAGCAGUCCCAUUUCAAAAAAUAGAUAUAAAUUCAAUUUUCUGCCUUAAGAAAGGAUAAGAACCAGUUUACACCAUAAUACUAAUUUACAGUAUUCUUAACCAAAUAAAUAAGACUUCUAAACCCAACCAACAUAGUCAGAAGUAAAAAAGGCAGCAUAAACAGUGAAUCCUAAGAGUUCCACACCUCGACAUAAUCACAAUCAAUAAACGGGGGCAUACGGAGGAGCAUUUCGUAAUUCAAUAUACAGAUUAGAUUCCCUUCGUUUUUCCCUUUAAAAUCAAAUGAGCAGAACAGUUAUCUACUUCUAUUUGCUACAGACUUCACCAAAUUUAAGAUUCUAAAACAUAAAUUCAAAUUAUAACCCAAAACACACACACACACACACACAGAGAGAACUCAUACCUAGGUGAAAUCGGACGAGGAGGAGACGGAGAAGGGAGGCGAGGAAAUUGGGCAAAAGGGUUCUGAGCUGCAGGCGGCGUACUUGGACCAGAGUUCUUCCCAAAUCCACCAAAUGACAUUCUUCUUUCUGAAUUUUUCAGAUCUUUAUUGUCCACAUACAAGUACGUGAACUGUGUGAGAGAGAAACUAUCGAAAAGGCGUAUAAUAUACACCUAGGGAAGGGUGUACGUCGUCUUCUUCAGGUCCCUUGGAGCUCAGUAAUUUUGUGAUGUCAGAAGAAAAAAAUUGGGGGGAAGGGUUUUUCAGAUUGAAGACGACGAAUGAAUAU